rnacentral:rRNA from 1 species
GUGCCAGCAGCCGCGGUAAAACGUAGGGGACAAGCGUUAUCCGGAUUUACUGGGCGUAAAGCGCCCGUAGGCGGCUUAAUAAGUUGGACGUGAAAGCUCCCGGCUUAACUGGGAGAGGCCGUUCAAAACUGUUAAGCUAGAGUGAGGAAGAGGAGAGCGGAAUUCCCGGUGUAGUGGUGGAAUGCGUAGAGAUCGGGAGGGACACCAGUGGCGAAAGCGGCUCCCUGGUCCUAAACUGACGCUGAGGGGCGAAAGCGUGGGGAGCGAACGGGAUUAGAAACCCUUGUAGUCC